rnacentral:sRNA from 1 species
CCCUGACGUUACCCGGAUUGGAGCGGCUGGAAUUCAGAUUACGGCUGCGAUUCGGGUGUCUCGGACCCCGGUGUGCACCGGACCACGGGGAGGCGGCUCCAAAGGCGCGGCGAACGUUGGUGAGGGAGGGCAGCUCUGCGCAGCCCCAAGACAUGGCUCACAACAAGAUCCCGCCGCGGUGGCUGAACUGUCCCCGGCGCGGCCAGCCGGUGGCAGGAAGAUUUUUACCUCUGAAGACAAUGUUAGGACCAAGAUAUGAUAGUCAAGUUGCUGAAGAAAAUCGGUUCCAUCCCAGCAUGCUCUCAAAUUACCUAAAGAGCCUAAAGGUUAAAAUGGGCUUGUUGGUGGACCUGACAAAUACUUCAAGGUUCUAUGAUCGAAAUGACAUAGAAAAAGAAGGAAUCAAAUAUAUAAAACUUCAGUGUAAAGGACAUGGUGAGUGCCCUACCACUGAGAAUACUGAGACCUUUAUUCGUCUGUGUGAGCGGUUUAAUGAAAGAAAUCCACCUGAACUUAUAGGUGUUCAUUGUACUCAUGGCUUCAAUCGCACUGGUUUCCUCAUAUGUGCCUUUUUGGUGGAGAAAAUGGAUUGGAGUAUCGAAGCAGCAGUUGCUACUUUUGCCCAAGCCAGACCACCAGGUAUCUACAAGGGUGAUUAUUUGAAGGAACUUUUUCGUCGGUAUGGUGACAUAGAGGAAGCACCACCCCCACCUCUAUUGCCAGAUUGGUGUUUUGAGGAUGAUGAAGACGAAGAUGAGGAUGAGGAUGGAAAGAAGGAAUCAGAACCUGGGUCAAGUGCUUCUUUUGGCAAAAGGAGAAAAGAACGGUUAAAACUGGGUGCUAUUUUCUUGGAAGGUGUUACUGUUAAAGGUGUAACUCAAGUAACAACACAACCAAAGUUAGGAGAGGUACAGCAGAAGUGUCAUCAAUUCUGUGGCUGGGAAGGGUCUGGAUUCCCUGGAGCGCAGCCUGUUUCCAUGGACAAGCAAAAUAUUAAACUUUUAGACCUGAAGCCAUACAAAGUAAGCUGGAAAGCAGAUGGUACUCGGUACAUGAUGUUGAUUGAUGGCACAAAUGAAGUUUUUAUGAUUGAUAGAGACAAUUCAGUAUUUCAUGUUUCAAAUCUGGAAUUUCCAUUUCGUAAAGAUCUUCGUAUGCAUUUAUCAAAUACUCUCUUGGAUGGCGAGAUGAUUAUUGACAGAGUAAAUGGACAGGCUGUUCCUAGAUAUUUGAUAUAUGACAUAAUUAAAUUCAAUUCACAGCCCGUUGGAGAUUGUGAUUUUAAUGUUCGUCUGCAGUGUAUAGAACGAGAAAUUAUAAGUCCUCGCCACGAAAAAAUGAAGACUGGGCUCAUUGACAAAACACAGGAACCAUUUAGUGUCAGAAAUAAGCCAUUUUUUGACAUCUGUACUUCAAGAAAGCUACUUGAAGGAAAUUUUGCCAAAGAAGUGAGCCAUGAAAUGGAUGGACUUAUUUUUCAGCCUACUGGAAAAUACAAACCUGGUCGAUGUGAUGAUAUUUUGAAAUGGAAGCCUCCCAGUCUGAAUUCUGUGGAUUUUCGUCUAAAAAUAACAAGAAUGGGAGGAGAGGGGUUACUUCCUCAGAAUGUUGGCCUUCUGUAUGUUGGAGGUUAUGAAAGACCCUUUGCACAAAUCAAGGUAUGUUUGUUCAUUUUCAGUGUACUUUUCCUGGAUGUUCUCUUAUAUAGAAUCCAUUAAAAACUUGCUAAUAAUAAUCAACAUAUAAAAAUAUUGUGUCCCAGCACUUUGGGAGGCUAAGACAGGUGGAUCACUUGAGCCCAGGAGGUUGAGACCAUGCUGGGAACCCUGUCUCUACAAAAAAAAUUUUUUUUUGUAAUUAGCCAAGUUCAGUGGCAUGUGCCUAUAGUCCCAGCUACUCUGGAGGCUGAGGUGGGAAGAUCACUUGAGCCCCGGAGUUUGAGGCUGCAGUGAGCCGUGAUCACACCACUGUACUCCAGCCCGGGUGACAGAAUGAGACCCUGUCUCAAAAAAAAA